rnacentral:rRNA from 1 species
AAACCAACAGGGAUUGCCCUAGUAACGGCGAGUGAAGCGGCAACAGCUCAAAUUUGAAAUCUGGCCUCGGCCCGAGUUGUAAUUUGCAGAGGAUGUUUCUGGCGCGGUGCCUUCCGAGUUCCCUGGAACGGGACGCCACAGAGGGUGAGAGCCCCGUAUGGUCGGACACCAAGCCUGUGUGAAACUCCUUCGACGAGUCGAGUAGUUUGGGAAUGCUGCUCUAAAUGGGAGGUAAAUCUCUUCUAAAGCUAAAUACCGGCCAGAGACCGAUAGCGCACAAGUAGAGUGAUCGAAAGAUGAAAAGCACCUUGAAAAGGGGGUUAAAUAGUACGUGAAAUUGUUGAAAGGGAAGCACUUGUGACCAGACUUGGGCCGGGCGGCUCAUCAGGGGUUCUCCCCUGUGCACUCCGCCCGGCACAGGCCAGCAUCGGUUCUCGUGGGGGGAUAAGACCGUCGGGAACGUAGCACCCUCCGGGGUGUGUUAUAGCCCGGCGGACGAUACCCUCGUGGGGACCGAGUUCGCGCUCCGCAAGGAUGCUGGCGUAAUGGUCACCAGUGAC